AUCCCUUCAUUACAGUUGACAAUCUCCUGCCAACAGCCCAAAACUACUGUUUUGUCUCAACCCCCUUCUCCCUUCCUCUAUAUAAACACCGAUACACCAUAUACACUCACAUUGAUUACAUAAUCUUCUCAACCAACCUAGCAUCAUCCACCAUAUCUACUCCUUUCACCUCUAAAAAACAAGUAAUUGCAACACCAAGACACAGAGAAACAGAGAAGAGGGGCGCUUUUCCUGUUUAAUUUUUGGAGGGAGAGGUACAUUUGCAUGGAGGUUGCUUCUAUUUUAAUAUGCCUCUUUCUUUCUAGCCUUCUCUCUUAUCCCCUCUUAAAGAAGAUGCGGAGGCCCUGGAGGAUACCUAAACAAAGAGCAAAGCUUCCUCCGGGUUCAAUGGGCUGGCCUUUUGUAGGUGAAACUCUCCAACUUUAUACUCAAGACCCAAAUGUCUUCUUUGUUACGAGGCAAAAAAGAUAUGGAGAAGUAUUCAAAAGCCACAUACUUGGCUGCCCUUGUGUUAUGCUAGCUAACCCUGAGGGUGCAAGAUUUGUGCUGGUGACUCAUGCUCAACUGUUCAAGCCUACAUACCCCAAAAGCAAAGAGAAGAUGAUUGGCCCUUCAGCUCUCUUUUUUCACCAGGGAAAUUACCACAAUCUUAUAAGGAAGUUGGUUCAAAGUUCUUUAUCCCCAGACACAAUCCGGAAACUAAUUCCCAGCAUCGAAUCCGUAGCCAUCUCUGCCUUAGAAUCAUGGUCCAGUGGGCAUAUCAUCAACACCUUUCAUGAAAUGAAGAAGUUUUCUUUUGACGUCGGCAUUCUUUCUAUCUUUGGUCACUUGAACAGCAACUUUAGACAGAUGCUGAAUGACAACUACCACAUAGUAGAUAAGGGUUACAAUUCAUUUCCAACAAAAAUUCCAGGAACUGCUUACCACAAAGCUCUUUCGGCAAGGAAAAGGCUUAAUCAAAUACUGAGUGAGAUAAUUUGUGAGAGGAAAGAGAAAGGACUACUAGAGAAGGAUUUCUUGGGUAAUCUUCUGAACUUCAAAAAUGAGAAGGGAGAAAUCCUAACUGAAGAUCAAAUUGCUGACAACAUUAUAGGAGUACUUUUUGCUGCUCAGGACACGACAGCUAGUGUUCUGACAUGGAUUCUAAAAUAUCUCCAUGAUGACCAAAAACUCCUAGAAGAUGUUAAGGCAGAGCAAAUGGCGAUAUACGAAGCGAAUGGAAGAGGAGAGAAGCCCCUGACAUGGGCGCAGACGAGAAAUAUGCCACUUACAUACAGGGUUAUACUAGAGAGCUUGAGGAUGGCAAGCAUAAUAUCUUUCACAUUCAGGGAAGCAAUAGUUGAUGUUGAGUACCAUGGAUACCUAAUACCAAAGGGAUGGAAGGUGUUGCCGUUGUUCAGGAACAUUCAUCACAACCCAGAAUUCUUUCCUGAUCCUCGCAUUUUCGACCCAUCAAGGUUUGAGAUUGCCCCCAAACCCAACACUUUCAUGCCAUUUGGAAAUGGAGUGCAUGCUUGCGCUGGCAAUGAGAUUGCCAAGCUGGAGAUGUUUGUCUUGAUCCAUCAUCUAGUGACCAGAUUCAGGUGGGAAGUGGUGGGAUCACAAAACGGGAUUCAAUACGGCCCAUUUCCUGUACCCCAUCAAGGACUCCCAGCCAGAUUUUGGAAAGAACCCGUCAAUCUCGAAUAAGAUGCGUGUGCCCUUGAGUUCAAGACGCCUGCUCUCGUUCACGAUUCUUUCUACCCUCCUAACCCAGCCCCUGUAGUUUUUUCAAGGGGUCCCUAUCUCUUGAUUACUAAAUGCUUUGCCUAAAGUUACUCUUACUGCUCUUGUAAUGAGGAGGUGAUCGGUCCCAAUUAUCCCAGUAGUUACAAGAUCUCCAUGGCCCAUCCAUCAUCAGCUGAAUGAAUACCAUUUGUUCAUGUCAACUUAACCUCGCGCGAGGGGUUUGGCUGCAGUGGUGUCAGAAAGAACCACGUGUUCGUGCUCUGGCUGGCCGAGUGAACCCUAACAGGAGGGGUGCUGCCCUCUUGAGCUGGCUUGUGUGGUGUGGUUUGGUUCGGGUUUGGUUUUUAAGCUGCUAGUGUUUUUUGUUUUUUUUUUCCCUUCGUGUUUUACCGUUCAAUGGGUAGCUAUCAAAAAGUAAAUAAAUAAAGUGAUGGGUCGACAAUGUGUAAAUGUUAAUAUCCAAAUUUUUGUGCUA